rnacentral:rRNA from 1 species
UACGUAGGUGGCGAGCGUUAUUCGGAUUUAUUGGGCGUAAAGGGUUCGUAGGAGGUUUGGUAAGUCUGAUGUGAAAUCUCAGGGCUCAACCCUGAAACUGCAUUGGAUACUGCCAGACUUGAGUACUGGAGAGGUAAGCAGAAUUCCUGGUGUAGCGGUGGAAUGCGUAGAUAUCAGGAGGAAUACCGAUGGCGAAGGCAGCUUACUGGACAGUUACUGACUCUGAGGAACGAAAGCUAGGGGAGCAAACAGG